CAAAACAAUUUUGAGUAUGACAGAGGCAAAAAAAUCGAUGUGUUAAGAUCUAAGUUGUGAGAGAAGCGACAUUAUUGCUGCUGUUACUCGCCUAACUAUGCCUUGUCAAGAAAAGUGUCGCCACAUGGUGAUGAAGAGGAAAUUCACGUUCUACCAUUACACACUCUGCUGGCUAAAUCUGCAGAUUCACGCGUCAGCACGCGUCUGUCUGUCUGACGACGACGUUUCUUAACUGUCUAAACCUUUUGAAAGAGCUUAGACACAACUCAAUCAGUUCAGCCGUUGAUGAGAUCUGAAAAUAUCAACAGUGUCAUGUGGUCGCACUCGCGUAAAUGAGGCACGGGACACGGGCUCGCGCAGAGCGCGCGCACUUCGUUGCGCGUAACUUG